rnacentral:rRNA from 1 species
CGGUUUAUAACCUUGUUGCUUCGGCGAGCCUUGCCUUUUGGCUGCCGGGGGACAUCUGUCCCCGGGUCCGCGCUCGCCGAAGACACCUUAGAACUCUGUCUGAAGAUUGUAGUCUGAGAUAUAAUUUAACUUUCAACAACGGAUCUCUUGGUUCCGGCAUCGAUGAAGAACGCAGCGAAAUGCGAUACGUAAUGUGAAUUGCAGAAUUCAGUGAAUCAUCGAGUCUUUGAACGCACAUUGCGCCCUCUGGUAUUCCGGAGGGCAUGCCUGUCCGAGCGUCAUUGCUGCCCUCAAGCACGGCUUGUGUGUUGGGCUCCGUCCUCCUUCCGGGGGACGGGCCCGAAAGGCAGCGGCGGCACCGCGUCCGGUCCUCAAGCGUAUGGGGCUUUGUCACCCCGCUUUGUAGGACUGGCCGGCGCCUGCCGAUCAACCAAACUUUUUUCCAGGUUGACCUCGGAUCAGGUAGGGAUACCCGCUGAACUUAAGCAUAUCAUAAGCGCGGAAGGGAAACAGAACCUACGGGAGAUUGCCCCAUAACAGCGAGUGAAGCGCAAGAGCUCAAUUUGUAAGUCGGCUCCUCGGGUCCCCCAGUCACACUACGAAAAGGCCUGAUU